GACGAACGCUGGCGGCGUGCCUAAUACAUGCAAGUCGAGCGGACAGAUGGGAGCUUGCUCCCAGACCGUCAGCGGCGGACGGGUGAGUAACACGUGGGCAACCUGCCUGUAAGACUGGGAUAACUCCGGGAAACCGGGGCUAAUACCGGAUAACUCUUUCCCUCACAUGAGGGAAAGCUGAAAGAUGGCAUCUCGCUAUCACUUACAGAUGGGCCCGCGGCGCAUUAGCUAGUUGGUGAGGUAACGGCUCACCAAGGCGACGAUGCGUAGCCGACCUGAGAGGGUGAUCGGCCACACUGGGACUGAGGCACGGCCCAGACUCCUACGGGAGGCAGCAGUAGGGAAUCUUCCGCAAUGGACGAAAGUCUGACGGAGCAACGCCGCGUGAGUGAUGAAGGUUUUCGGAUCGUAAAACUCUGUUGUCAGGGAAGAACAAGUACCGGAGUAACUGCCGGUACCUUGACGGUACCUGACCAGAAAGCCACGGCUAACUACGUG
rnacentral:rRNA from 1 species